rnacentral:rRNA from 1 species
UGCAAACUGCGAAUACCGGAGAAUGUUAUCACGGGAGACACACGGCGGGUGCUAACGUCCGUCGUGAAGAGGGAAACAACCCAGACCGCCAGCUAAGGUCCCAAAGUCAUGGUUAAGUGGGAAACGAUGUGGGAAGGCCCAGACAGCCAGGAUGUUGGCUUAGAAGCAGCCAUCAUUUAAAGAAAGCGUAAUAGCUCACUGGUCGAGUCGGCCUGCGCGGAAGAUGUAACGGGGCUAAACCAUGCACCGAAGCUGCGGCAGCGACGCUUAUGCGUUGUUGGGUAGGGGAGCGUUCUGUAAGCCUGUGAAGGUGUGCUGUGAGGCAUGCUGGAGGUAUCAGAAGUGCGAAUGCUGACAUAAGUAACGAUAAAGCGGGUGAAAAGCCCGCUCGCCGGAAGACCAAGGGUUCCUGUCCAACGUUAAUCGGGGCAGGGUGAGUCGACCCCUAAGGCGAGGCCGAAAGGCGUAGUCGAUGGGAAACAGGUUAAUAUUCCUGUACUUGGUGUUACUGCGAAGGGGGGACGGAGAAGGCUAUGUUGGCCGGGCGACGGUUGUCCCGGUUUAAGCGUGUAGGCUGGUUUUCCAGGCAAAUCCGGAAAAUCAAGGCUGAGGCGUGAUGACGAGGCACUACGGUGCUGAAGCAACAAAUGCCCUGCUUCCAGGAAAAGCCUCUAAGCAUCAGGUAACAUCAAAUCGUACCCCAAACCGACACAGGUGGUCAGGUAGAGAAUACCAAGGCGCUUGAGAGAACUCGGGUGAAGGAACUAGGCAAAAUGGUGCCGUAACUUCGGGAGAAGG